CAGAGGGACCUAGCGUUGUUCGGAAUGACUGGGCGUAAAGGGUGCGUAGGUGGCCGCUUAAGUAAAAUGUUAAAGCCUUGGGCUCAACCCAAGAAUCGCAUUUUAUACUGGGGGGCUAGAGUGUGUGAGAGGAAAGUGGAAUUCCUAGUGUAGAGGUGAAAUUCGUAGAUAUUAGGAGGAACACCAGAGGCGAAGGCGGCUUUCUGGCACACAACUGACACUGAGGCACGAAAGCGUGGGGAGCAAACAGGAUUAGAUACCCUGGUAGUCCACGCCCUAAACGAUGAGUGCUAGACGUUGGGAGAUUAUUCUCAGUGUCGCAGCUAACGCGUUAAGCACUCCGCCUGAGGAUUACGGUCGCAAGACUA
rnacentral:rRNA from 1 species